AAUAUUGUUUAUUUGAACAUUAUAAUCAGAAUUAAAUUGCCUUUUUUUAUUAUGUUUUUUGUUUAGCUGUUUCAUCGGCAUCAUUAGUCUCUUCAGAUAUCAAUGAAGUAUCAACUCUAAGGCAACAGAUUGGUAAGCAAAAAUAUAUCAUAUGUUUUUAUCUCCCCAAAGCUUGAUAGGCUGUUACAGUUAAGGAUGCUACUUUAA